UACGGAGGAUCCGAGCGUUAUCCGGAUUUAUUGGGUUUAAAGGGUGCGUAGGUGACUUUUUAAGUCAGGGGUGAAAGACGGUAGCUUAACUAUCGCAGUGCCUUUGAUACUGAAGAGCUUGAUGAACUAGAGGUAGGCGGAAUGUGACAAGUAGCGGUGAAAUGCAUAGAUAUGUCACAGAACACCAAUUGCGAAGGCAGCUUACUAUGGUUUUAUUGACACUGAGGCACGAAAGCGUGGGGAUCAAACAGG
rnacentral:rRNA from 1 species